rnacentral:rRNA from 1 species
UACAGAGGUCUCAAGCGUUGUUCGGAUUUACUGGGCGUAAAGGGUGUGCAGGCGGGGGUCCAAGUGGUGUAUGAAAUCGCCCGGCUUAACCGGGCUAGGUUAUGCCAGACUGGACUUCUAGAGUGCGAGAGAGGGACGUGGAAUUCCGGGUGUAGUGGUGAAAUGCGUAGAGAUCCGGAGGAACCCCAGAGGCGAAGGCGGCGUCCUGGCUCGCAACUGACGCUCAGACACGACAGCAUGGGGAGCGAACGGG